GUCCUUAAGAGCAAGGAAUAGCGCGUUGGACUUCUAAUCCAAAGGUCGUGGGUUUGAAGCACACAUGGGAUG